AUUGAACGCUGGCGGCAGGCCUAACACAUGCAAGUCGAGCGGGGUUUUCGGACCUAGCGGCGGACGGGUGAGUAAUGCGUAGGAAGCUACCCGAUAGAGGGGGAUACCAGUUGGAAACGACUGUUAAUACCGCAUAAUGUCUACGGACCAAAGUGUGGGACCUUCGGGCCACAUGCUAUCGGAUGCGCCUACGUGGGAUUAGCUAGUUGGUGGGGUAAUGGCUCACCAAGGCGACGAUCCCUAGCUGGUUUGAGAGGAUGAUCAGCCACACUGGAACUGAGACACGGUCCAGACUCCUACGGGAGGCAGCAGUGGGGAAUAUUGGACAAUGGGCGCAAGCCUGAUCCAGCCAUGCCGCGUGUGUGAAGAAGGCCUUCGGGUUGUAAAGCACUUUCAGUAGGGAGGAAGGGUGUUGUGUUAAUAGCACAGCAUUUUGACGUUACCUACAGAAGAAGCACCGGCUAACUCUGUGCCAGCAGCCGCGGUAA
rnacentral:rRNA from 1 species